GGUAACCUACCCUGGGGAUCGGGAUAACCUGUCGAAAGACGGGCUAAUACCGGAUAAGACCACGGGAGCCUCGGCUCCUGAGGUAAAAGAUGGCCUNUGCUUGCAAGCUAUUACCCCGGGAUGGGCCUGCGCACCAUUAGCUAGUUGGUGAGGUAACGGCUCACCAAGGCGAAGAUGGUUAGCUGGUCUGAGAGGAUGAUCAGCCACACUGGGACUGAGACACGGCCCAGACUCCUACGGGAGGCAGCAGUGGGGGAUNUUGCGCAAUGGGCGAAAGCCUGACGCAGCGACGCCGCGUGGGCGAUGAAGGCCUUCGGGUCGUAAAGCCCUGUCAGGAGGGACGAAACCUCGCCGACCUAAUAUGUCGGCGACCUGACGGUACCUNCAAAGGAAGCACCGGCUAACUUCCGUGCCAGCAGCCCGCGGUAAUACGGAGGGUGCGAGCGUUGUUCGGAAUCCNGGGCGUAAAGCGCGUGUAGGCGGUUUUUAAGUCUGGUGUGAAAAUCCCCGGGGCUCACCCCCGGAAUGCACUUGGAUACUUGGGAAAGCUUGAGUACCGGA
rnacentral:rRNA from 1 species